rnacentral:rRNA from 1 species
GAGACAGCAGCCGCCGCGGUAAUACAGAGGGUGCGAGCGUUAAUCGGAUUUACUGGGAGUAAAGCGUGCGUAGGCGGCUUUUUAAGUCGGAUGUGAAAUCCCUGAGCUUAACUUAGGAAUUGCGUUCGAUACUGGGAAGCUAGAGUAUGGGAGAGGAUGGUAGAAUUCCAGGUGUAGCGGUGAAAUGCGUAGAGAUCUGGAGGAAUACCGAUGGCGAAGGCAGCCAUCUGGCCUAAUACUGACGCUGAGGUACGAAAGCAUGGGGAGCAAACAGGAUUAGAGACCCCCGUAGUCCCUGUCUCUUAUAC